rnacentral:tRNA from 1 species
GUAAGUGUAGCUCAGAGGUAGAGUAUAUGUUAAGUAUCUGUGAGGCCCUGGGUUCAAUCCCUAGCACCAACA